CUAUACAAAUCACAACGUGUAAAUAGGAACAUGUUGGUGUUAUUUUGUCACUUAUUGGGAGCAGUAGGCUGGUUGGAAACGAUUACUUUCAGGAUCCGUGCUAGACUAAGCUACCGAUGGAGCCGACGAACAGAGUUACAGCACGCACAGAGAUGAGAAGGCUCCAGUGGUUGAUGGAUUCCAAAAUGACUACUGUUUGAGUACCUGAUGACCAUGCUGAAGGCGAUUCCUCUUCCUUAAUCACUUCAUUUCCAUCUCUCGCCGAGAAAAGAGAGCGGCUGGGAUGGUGCAGGCACAGCGUUAAGAGAUUUCCAGCGAUCUUCUAUCGUCAAAGGGCCAGACAAGAUGGCUUCAAACUACCCAAUAAAGCAAAAUCCUUGUAAUGGCAAGAUUUCCAGUGGAGCAGUAAUUGACUACAAGCAAAUCCUGCAGAAAACAAGUGUGUGGAGAAGAAAGCCCAUAGACAGACUAUGCGGAGUGGUGACCCCAACUAGAGUGGGUUCACCUCAACUGUACAUCAUCCUGACCAUCAGUCCCCAACUCUCCUACCCCUGGGAUGAGGCCAUCAAUUCCUGGGACAGGCCUUUCAUCAUCGUGUGUGUGUGUGUGUGUGUGUGUGUGUGUGUGUGUGUGUGUGUGUGUGUGUGUGUGUGUGUGUGUGUGUGUGUGUGUGUGUGUGUGUGUGUGUGUGUGUGUGUGUGUGUGUGUGUGUGUGUGUGUGUGUGUGUGUGUGUGUGUGUGCGUGCGACCGAGACAUGGGAGUGUACACAUCAGUAAAUCACAUGUGAUAACUACACUUCCGUAAAUUAAGGCCUCAGCAUGGGCCCAACCAAUCGCUGACGG